GACGUAGGGCGCGAGCGUUGUCCGGAAUUAUUGGGCGUAAAGAGCCCGUAGGCGGCUUGUCGCGUCGACCGUGAAAACUUGGGGCUCAACCCCAAGCCUGCGGUCGAUACGGGCAGGCUAGAGUUCGGUAGGGGAGACUGGAAUUCCUGGUGUAGCGGUGAAAUGCGCAGAUAUCAGGAGGAACACCGAUGGCGAAGGCAGGUCUCUGGGCAUUAACUGACGCUGAGGAGCGAAAGCAUGGGGAGCGAACAGG
rnacentral:rRNA from 1 species